GGCCAAAUGGCUGCUCAGAAGCUGCCAGAACAAGCUGCUCAGAUGCUGAAAAGUUGAAAUCGCCUUUAGACUUCAUGCUCUGCAGAACUUCAGAUCUAAACUUCUGUAACAACCAUCUGCCCCUGAGACUGACAGGGGGUACAGACACUUGCUCUGGGAGGGUGGAGGUGUAUCACAGCGGCUCCUGGGGGACCGUGUGUGACGACUCCUGGGACCUGCGUGACGCCAUGGUGGUGUGCAGGCAGUUGG